GCGUGGCCUCCUCGUUCAAUGCGUUAAGGCAGAAAACUAGGGCGGGCCUAUGUGCCUCGCCUUUUGCUGUGAGGAGAAAAGGAAGACAGGGAAUGUCCCGUGAUGCAUCGCGGCGGCGGCGUGGAACGCGUUUCCAUGGCGAUUGACGCCUUCGUCUCACAGCCAUGACUAGGCCUCAGAAUAAUAGGAAGUGUAGUUUUACAAGUUCUUUAGCCUUGUCUGCCAAAUGGUGCUGGAGCCUAAGGCAAAAUAUAACCCCCAUGAUCCCAUAGCAUUGAGCCAUGGGAGUGAAAGUAGUAUCAAACUCUGUUAAUUCCACAGUGUAGAUCAGGCAUAGGCAAAUUUCGCUCUCCAGAUGUUUUGGACAUCAACUCCCACAAUUCCUAACAUAAAGAACAACACUCAGAAGACAGGUGAAUUCCAGACAAGAAACAAUCAGGGCCAGUUAACACCUCCUAACAAAGGAAUCCCCCAGGCAGGAAGCAGCCAGGCUUUGAAACUGAAAGGCUAUUCAGUGCUAAUCAAGGUGGCCGAUUGCAACGUUCACACUUGCUUCAAACAGACAAGAGUUCUUUCUCCCACCCUGGACAUUCCACAGAUAUAUAAACCUCACUUGCCUAGUUUCCAACAGACCUCAUAACCUCCGAGGAUGCCUGCCAUAGAUGUGGGCAAAACGUCAGGAGAGAAUGCUCCUGGAACAUGGCCAUACAGCCUGGAAAACUCACAGCAACCCAGUAUUUUAAUAGGUUUUUAUGGUUUAAAUUAUUUUAAUAGCGUGAUAUUUAAUUCUAUUUUAGUAUUUAUAUUUAUUUUAAAGUGUAUGUUGUAUUCUUUUUACCAUUGCUAGCUGCUUUGAGUCUCCUUUAAGAUAAAAUAAAUAUAAUUACGAUUACUAUCAUGAUUUUAUUGAGACAGCAAUUCAGUUUAGAUGGGUUCUGAUGUGAUUGAAAGGCCUGUAUGAACACUUGGCGUGCAUUUACACAGAUUGCAAUUUGACACCACUUUUCACUACCCUGAUUUAAAUCUUGGUUAGUUGGAGAUUGUACAAGGCCUUGAGCCUUCUGCUGGUAGAUAAUUUGUAGGUUGCGUUUCUUCAUCAGCUUUCGUAUGUGGUCAGUGGUUCCCUUGAUGUAUGGUAAGAACACUUUUCCUCUGGGUGGAUCUUUGUCUUUAUUCUCGUGACUUGUUCUUGGUCUUACAGCUCUUCUGAUGUCUGUGGUGGAAUAUACAUUGGCCUGUAGAGCCCAGCUUAAAAUAAUAAUAAUUAUUAUUAUUAUUAUUAUAUAGGCAGUUCCCAAUUUACAAACAAGAUAGGUUCUCUAGGUUUGUUAAUUUUGGGUAGCAUAGGGAAGGGAAGCACCCCUCUGAUGCUUGUUUUUCUGUCUGUGCCCCUGUUCAGAAGAUUUAACCCCACUUUCUGUCCCUGUGAUAAUUAGAUUGUGAAAAAAAUGGCUUGCUGUGGAAACAAGGAUUGGUGCUAAAGUUUCAGUGGAGACACCUUUCCCCCCAUGAUAACUUUUCCAGGAGUGAAUUUCCCUUCCAAGGGGUAGAUUUCUCUCACUUCCUGUUGAUUCACCUCCAUUCCUAACCAAGAGUAGUUUAUAAGUUGGAUGUUUCCAGCUGAGAACGUGCACCCAGGGCCCUGGAGAAGCAUAGCAAUUGCCUGAGAUAACAGCCACUCCUUGAAAUCAUACAAUUCGCACCCUCCUUGAUCCUUUCAAAACACGGCUUUCUGGUGUUAUUAUUAGCUAUAACAACCAUCAGAGGAAUUUAUUCCAAGCCUAUAAAAAUGAGAUGCUCUUACAAGGUGCCCAAGUGACAAAGCUUUAAGUGCCAAUGCAGUUUAACAACAGGGUGAAGGAGGUGACGCAUUCAGUCUCCAGGUUUUGCUAGGUCUGACUAGCAGAAUCCAAAUCCAGCCUAUCAUUUCAUUUUGUGUGGUCCUGCAGAUGCUGGACUACAACUCCUGUAUUCUUCAUCAUUAGACAUCAUGACUAGAGCUGAUGGGAGUUGUGAUGCAGUAACAUCUGGGAGGCUGCAGUAGUCAGGAUAGUGAAGUUUGAAUUUAAAUACAAAGUUGUGGGUGUGAUGUCUGACACUAAAAUGUCCUUUAACGUUUCCUCAACAUCAGAGUCACAAAUGCUGCCUAAUUGUAAUUCCUAUUAUCCCCAGUCUACAUGGCGGAUAAUAAAAAGUAAUAGGAGUUGUUGCUCAGUAACAUCUGGGGAUUCCUAGCCAGAGCAUCUAUGGCUCUUCUUCCUGCAAGGCAGAAACUCCAGCCCCAUAUGAUUGCUUCUCCUGAAUGUUCUGGGAGGACUCCAAUCCAGAGAUUCCACUCCAGAGAUUGCAGUCCACCCUGGGUCCACCUUAGUGUGUACAGGGCUUCCAGCAGACUGGAGCAGUCAUUGUACCUAGUGGCUCUGUGCUUCAGUCUGCUUGCCUUUGCCUGCGUGCUCUUCUCUGUUUAGGGAGAUUGCUGUCCACUGAGGAAGUUUGGGUUAGUUCAUUUGUGUGCCUUUUAUUCUUGGUGCUGUAUGUUUUGCUUCAAGAAGACAGAGAGAGCGCAAGAGAAUGAGGCUGGAAUUACAGUAUGAAGAAAAUGAUGCUGUUUUGCCUUGCUGUUACACUGGCCAACAUACAUUUUGUUACCUCAAAUGUGCUUCCUUGCCAUAGUGGCUGGAUGAAACCAAGUACUGCCUAUCUCAAAACAUUUUAUACAUUAUUUGUUGUUUAUAAAGUACAUUUUCUUAUAUAAAAGCACAUAAAAAUUGGGGUGGUUUUCAAAGGGCUGGAACAGAUUAAUAACAUUUCAGUGGGAAAAUUUGCUUUGAUAUAAUGUUUUGACUUAAGAACACAGUCACGGAGCAAAUUAAAUUCUUAAGUCAAGGUAUCACUGUAAUCCAGUUCAAAGCAGAUAAUCUGGAUUUUAUGCGGUAGUGUAGAAGAGGCUUCAGAAGCAGUCCAACAGUAGAACUGCAGAGUGAAAACUGGAGAUAGUUCAUGUAUCUAUAAUGGUUGUGUAAAAGAAGGAAUUCCAGCAGGUGUUGUUUGUCAUACAACAUAGUAACAAGUGUUGCCUGCUCACAUUCAGUUUUUUAUCUAACCAUUAAAAGUACAGGAACCUUCUCCAGUUUUUCUUCUGGCAACCGUAGAUAUUCCUUUUCACACCCUGAUUUUUGGACUUCAGGAUCCCUUGUAGCUCAGUUCUGUCCCAAAUUUGUUUACACACACACACACACACACACACACACAUAUAUAUAAAAGGCACUUCUACCCCACCUUUCUCAACCCCGAGGGGGGACUCAAGGUGGCUUUACAACAUAGGCAACAAAUCAAUGCCUUUAAAAACAGUGUAUAAUAAAGCGACCAUUUAAAAUAGAAUAAUAAGAUACAAUUAAAACAAUUAAAAGCAUUUAAACACAAUACAGACAGAGUAAUUCACACGAUCCAUAUACUGUAUACAACUGGCUUUCCAUAUCCACAGAUUCUUCAUCCAUAUAUUCAAUAAUACUUUCAAGAAAGGAUGCACAUAUGCUUCACUUGCAUGUAUGUCAUCAAUGAUAUUCAAACUAUAACAUUUACUAUCACCCCAAUCUUUUAAAAAGUGCAGCUUUAGAGACAUGGCCAGCAAAAUAACCAGACAUUUCUUGCUCUCAGAAAGAAAGCUUUAUUUUGGAAAACUAAAAUGAGGCAGAAAAUACAAAGAACUGGAGCUCCCGGUGGUGCCUCCAAAAUGAAGGGACCAUGAGCAGUGACAGUACAUUUCCUUUUAUAGUUUCACAAUGCUGUGCCACUCUUUUGAGGUAUCACUCAAUCAUUGUCAGGCUCAGUUGAUUAAAGGACAAUCAGGUAAUUUCACAUCAUGGUCCAUAUCCUCUGUCCUACACCCUCCCUUUGUCUAGUUGUUAUCAGCAGGAUAACAAUGGGGCAGGGGAGGGUUUGGUCCUCUCUAACCACACAGUUUUCUAACCAUGCAGGUAACCUCUGAGCCUUUACUGCUAUCAUAGAUAAGUUUGUUUCAAGUGAAUCUUCCCAGGUGUUUUCAAGUGUAGGUAAAUACCUUUCCAAAGCAUUUCCCCAUUAUCAUGUUUGAUUGUGUUAGAGAUGUCACUACAUCUUCUGAUUUAGAAUCAGGUCAGGAAACCACACUCGCCUGAAUUAAAUGGUAGGGUUUUUUAAGCCUCAUAAUCCAUUUAUUUCCUACAUCUCUGAUGUCAACACACUAUUCAAGAUAAACAAAAUCAAAUUCCUCUGUGGUGCCAUGCCCUAGUCCAGUUCAAGCUUUUCAUCGUUUCUUUACAUAACUGUAAUCAGCUUUAAAUAUCUGCACUGAAGCAAUACUUAGGGCCAGCCUAAGAUUAUUUUGCUGCCUGCAGCUAAGCUAUAAAUGAUACUUCAUCUCACUUUCACUGUGCACAAAUACUUAAAGCUCUGGUAGUUGUACAUGAAAAGAGAUGUUUUGCUCAAACAAAACAGUAUGCGAUUUAAAUUGCUUGAUGGAUUGAACACUGCUUCAUAGAGCCCCCAGUGGCGCAGCGGAUUAAACCACUGAACUGCUGAAUUUGCUGACCAAAAUCUGGGAAGCUCCUGCUGUUAGCCCCAGCUUCUGCCAACCUAGCAGUUCAAAAACAUGCAAAUGUGAGUAGAUCAAUAGGAACCACUCCUGUGCUCCAUGCAGUGAUGCUGGCCACAUGACCUUGGAGGUGUCUACGGACAACGCCGGCUCUUUGGCUAACAAAUAGAGAUGAGCACCAACCUCCAGUUUCAGACACAACUAGACUUAAUGUUAGAGGAAAACCUUUAUCAUACCUUUAUACUGCUUCAGAACACUGCCUGCACAGUUGCUCUGAGCUGCACCCCUCUGGGAAGUAUACACUCCAUGACAGAUUAGUGGAGAGUAUGGAGAUAUCUGAGUAGGACCCAGUUGUAGUUUGCAGAUUUGGAGAGAUGAACAUGUGGGUCAAGAAUAGGUCUCCACAGUCACCUACAGACUCACUGCCAAGACACAACACUUGGAAGACCAUCCUACUUGGACUCAAGUGAUCGCCGAUGAUGAUGAUGAUCCCAUUGAACAGGACUAGCAGGAUUUAGUGUUAUACACUGGGUCUUCUAAUUCACUGAUUCUUCUAAUUCUCUUCUCUAACUGCCUCCCACCCAACCAUUUCCAAUUUUAUUUCAAACUCUUAGCCAGUUUCAUGCUCUCAAAUUGUACCCAAAUGAUACUCCUGUUUUGUUUUGUUUUUCAAAUACAGAAAUAGUUUUUAUUUUACAUUUCACAUAACAAAAAUAUUUACAGUGUGUAAAAAAGGUAUAUCUAAACAACCCAAUGUAAUAACCACCACACAGAUUGUACAAGAAUCUCUUAUCUUUUCUGUCGCUUCACAUUUACUGCCCUAGAAUGCCUGUAUUAUCUUCCAUUUAUUUAGUAACCCACCAGCUUCUGACAACCUAGCAGUUCGAAAACAUGCCAAUGUGAGUAGAUCAAUAGGUACCGCUCCGGCAGGAAGGUAACGGUGCUCCAUGCAGUCAUGCCGGCCACAUGACCUGGAGGUGUCUAUGGACAACGCUGGCUCUUCGGCUUAGAAAUGGAGAUGAGCACCAACCCCCAGAGUUGGUCACGACUGGUCCUAACGUCAGGGGAAACCUUUACCUUACCUCCUUCUGUUCUAUGCCAUCCCACACAAACAUCAGUGCAUCUUGUUAAAUUAUUAUCAGAAUGCUGGGCUAAAGGCAACUUCAGGAUUGAUAAAUAGAAAAAAUAUCUUGUGCUAUACAAUCUUGAACAUGUUCAGUGUUAAUACCCAUUGACCUCAAUGCCACUUGCUCCAAGGUAGGGAUAUAUACAGGCAGUCCCCAAGUUACAAGCAUCCACCUUACAUAUAAUUCAUAGUUAAGAAUGGGGAGUGUGAGACAACAGGAAGUGCGAGAAAGCGACCCUUCAGAAGGGAAAGAGUUAUCAUGGGGGAAAGGUGCCGCACUGAAGCUUUAUCACAAAUCUUUCCUUUCUAUUUUUUCAAAAUCUAAUCAUCACAGAAACAGAAAGUGAGGUCAGAUCUUCAGAAAAGGGGCACAGAGAGCAAAACAAGCACCACAUUCCUUGUGCUAUAGAAAGUGUACGCAUGCGUGCACACAGGCACACAUAUAUACUGUAUGAAUGAAUGAGAGACUGGAGUUACGCUAUAAUGUACCUGUUCUAAUUUAUAAGCAAAUCCAAUUUAAGAACAAAUCUACAGAAACUACCUUGUUCAUAAGUUGGGACUGUCUGUAUAGGAUUAUAACCCUAAACUAGUUUUUAAGAAGUCUUCAAAACCUCGUUUCUCUCUGUUUUCCUAGUACUGUACUGAAACUAGGACUGGAUCUAUGUGCUCAUAUAAAAUCCAGAUUAUCUGUUUUGAUAAUCUGGAUUAUAUGGCAGUGUGGAUCCCGCCUAAGAUGUCCUCAGACAGUGGAUUUGUUGUGUGUUAGUUUUAGUUACUUGUGUUGUCUUGGUUCUGAACAGUGAUUUGGGUGAUGACUAUUUUUUGCGAACUCUCUUCAGAUUGAUCACAUGAUCUUGUCAGACUUUAAACUGUUUCCAGAGUGAACCAUUAGACUGGGUAUCUUGUAGGGGCCAAGUUUAUUACCAGUUAUCAAUUCAGCAAAAGGCUAUUGGCUAGUGUUUCUGCAUGAGGAUACUGCCCUAAAAUCUGAUGUUGUUACCCAUCUGAAGUUGUUCCAGUCUACUGUGUUGCACUUUGAUUUGAAAAGUACCUCUGAGACCUUUCAACUGCAACUGAAAAUAUUUUAUAUAGGAGAGGAUACUGUGCUUUUUUGAGGAGAGAUGGUUUUUACAAUGUCAUUAUGCAUGGUAUAUUUCAGAAUAUCUGAAGUAUCAAGAUUCCAGAAUAACAGUUUGAGAUGAGGAAGAUACCUAUCUUCAAAAGCAUUCAUUUUUAACAGUAACACUCUCUAUCUGGUUAUUUUGUGUCUUUCCCUGACUCCUUCUUUGCACGAAAUCUCCUCUCUCUCUCUCUCUAACCCGUCCGACCUUCAAACCCUGGCGGAAGCUUCCCCGCCAUAGGUUAAUACGGCGGACGAUACAAAUUGGCUCAUAUCUUUAUCAAAAUUACCCCUAGCACGCUCUUCUUUUAGUCCUAACCCUUUCUAAGGCUCCUGACUCAAGGACCACCAGCGGAACCAAAAUCGGUCCAGUUCUCGGCACCUCAUCAGCUGACUGUCAAACGGAACCGACUGCUCUUUUCAAGCCAGACUGCUCUCUUCCAGCCUUAUCCCGGACUUUCCUCUCCCCGCGACCCGCGGGAUGGUUUUAAGAGAUCACUGGUCCCUUUCUGUGAACUGUGGAUGGGGGAUCGCUCUCCCGCUGGGGAGACAUAGUUCUCCAAGGACCUUCACCCUCUCUACAGCUGCCAGGAGGGUGCCUGGAUGGGCGCCCUCCACGUUUCAUUUACAUCUUCAUAAUUUUAUGAAUGAGAAGAACACUCUUCCCCAGACCUACUCCUGAACUUAUGAAAUCCUAUACUUCCAAAGACUGCAACCCACAUGUACCUCUUCCCCAUGCUAUUUCUAUGAAUUCCUUCCACCACAGAUGAACUCUUUUCCCAAUGUAUCCGUGAAUUUUCAUAUUCUAUGUACCUGGACACCCUCAUGAAUCACUGUUAUAUGAAUUUCUAAUCGUUGGGCUAACUUCAUGAAUUGUAAAAUCAUGCUGCUAAAACUCCACUUUUAUGAAUUUCCAUAUUGGGUUCCCCAGAUGUUAUGAACUUCGUUCUUAUCAAAUAUUUUCAAUUAUUUAUAUCAUUCAUGAUUCCCCUUUAUGCAAUGUAACUCACUUUUAUGGAUUCUCCCUUACUUCCAUGAAAUCUAUCUGUCUGCCUAUAUGUAUUUGUACUCUUUGGGAUCCCCGGAAAAUAUGUAUUUUUCCCAGCAGGGUUUAUAUUCCAACUUUAUUUUAUUUUUCAUUUUAUUUCAUAUAAUUGCCAAGUCAUGAGAUCAAAUAGGAAAUAUUUUGAACUCAACCUGAACCCCAGAACCUAUCCCAUUUCCUAUAACCCAGGCUUCCCUUCCCAAAAACAAAAGGAUAAUCUGCCACUGCUUAACCCAAUCAAAUUCAGAUUGCAUGGACAAUAUAGGGCUUGAGUCGCCGAAUUCGGAGUGUUGUCCUAAAGGUGAUUCGCCCCCAAGGCAAACAUUGUCAUAUCUUACCCAAAGGAAAAUCCAGGACACCUCAGGAAGGCGCCCUGCAGAGCCUGUCAAUUAUGGCCAGGGCCGGCCCAAGGAAAUUUUCAAGUGUAAGCGAAACAGGAUUUUGGUGCCCCCCCCCUCAAAAAAAACCCAAUCACCGAGAAAUGAAAGGUAGAAGGUAGAGGUGAAUAGAAUGGAUAAAAGAGUUUACCUUACAACCAGAAGUUUAUUAACAACAUUAUGUUCAUAUAGUAACAUUACAUAGAAUUAACACCAAUCUUGCAUUUUAAUAAAUAAAUAUUUUAAUAAA